AACGAACGCUGGCGGCAUGCCUAACACAUGCAAGUCGAACGAGACCUUCGGGUCUAGUGGCGCACGGGUGCGUAACGCGUGGGAACCUGCCCUUAGGUUCGGAAUAACUCCCCGAAAGGGGUGCUAAUACCGGAUAAUGUCUUCGGACCAAAGAUUUAUCGCCUUUGGAUGGGCCCGCGUUGGAUUAGCUAGUUGGUAGGGUAAAAGCCUACCAAGGCGACGAUCCAUAGCUGGUCUGAGAGGAUGAUCAGCCACACUGGGACUGAGACACGGCCCAGACUCCUACGGGAGGCAGCAGUGGGGAAUAUUGGACAAUGGGCGAAAGCCUGAUCCAGCAAUGCCGCGUGAAUGAUGAAGGCCUUAGGGUUGUAAAGCUCUUGUACCCGGGAUGAUAAUGAUAGUACCGGGAGAAUAAGCUCCGGCUAACUCCGUG
rnacentral:rRNA from 1 species